rnacentral:rRNA from 1 species
AUUGAACGCUGGCGGCAUGCCUUACACAUGCAAGUCGAACGGCAGCACGGGAGCAAUCCUGGUGGCGAGUGGCGAACGGGUGAGUAAUAUAUCGGAACGUGCCCAGUAGUGGGGGAUAGCCCGGCGAAAGCCGGAUUAAUACCGCAUGAGACCUGAGGGUGAAAGCGGGGGAUCGCAAGACCUCGCGCUAUUGGAGCGGCCGAUAUCAGAUUAGCUAGUUGGUGGGGUAAAGGCCUACCAAGGCAACGAUCUGUAGUUGGUCUGAGAGGACGACCAGCCACACUGGGACUGAGACACGGCCCAGACUCCUACGGGAGGCAGCAGUGGGGAAUAUUGGACAAUGGGCGAAAGCCUGAUCCAGCCAUGCCGCGUGUGUGAAGAAGGCCUCGGUUGUAAGUACGACUUAAGUACGAGGAGGAAGGUUACGGUUAC